AGGACGGUUCGAGUAUGCGAUAUUUCGGAACUGAGUCUAGUUCCUUCUAGUUUCUAGACUCAGUUCCGAAAUAUCGCAUACUCGAAC